GGCACUGUCUACCUGUUUCCCAGGGUUUCACGUGAGACUGCGCGUCUGUUCGUUUCGUUAUCAAAACUACCUGUUUUCAUGUCGGUUCUUGCAGACCUAUUGUCAAUCUCUAAAAUCUUGCUCAAUUAUCCAGUUUUCCUAAUGUAUUACAGUUUUAUUUUCUAAAUGCAUGCAAUCAUUAUCCAAUUAGUAUCUGAAGGAGGUUUUCGUGCUCUCUAAUAGCUGCUGCAGAGCGACGUAUGGCUAUUAUUACUGUAUUGUUUCUGAUAUGAAGAUCGUUUUUGACAAGCUGCAGCUUCAUAAAAAGAUUGCCUGCUUUGGAUUCCUGACUGAUGGAUACAGGAAAGAAAUCAAAGAAUGUGAGACUUGUGAAAUGAAUCUUGCCUCUGAGUGUAAGCCGGCCUUCCAAGAUAACUCCUGGUGAAAAUUAACUUUUACUUGGAUUGUACAGAAUAUUUUUGAUUCGUCUGAAAAAUUAAAGAAACCAGCAAAAAGUCCCACUGGAAAUGUAAUUAUGACACUACCGUACCAAUAAUUUCAGUUCUUGAUAGAAUUCAACAAAAAAAUAAAUAUUUUUACGCUACUAUUCUUCUAUAAAUGUAUGUAGGCCUACUGUAUAUUCUUAUUAUUUAAACGACUAGCUCUUUUUAUGUCAAGACUGAAUUAAUUUUAGUGAAAAAUAAUAAGCCUACCACCCACUUUGACUGAAGUGAAAUUCAAGACUUCAACUCGUUUUUCAAAAUUAUAUAAUUUUAUUUACCAGACGUGCUAUAAUGUAUUACUUUGUUUUUUGGGUAGCUGAACAUAACUUCGAUGAUAUAGUUCUCAAACUGUUGAUUGCUUAUCUCUUAUAUACAUAUUACGAUUCCAAAUAUGAAAAUUUAAAUUCAUUUUGGAAACUAUUCGAUGUGAAAAUGUACUAUGAUAGAAAUUAAGUGGAUGUAGAUAGAAUUCAUCCAUUGCGAAAAUGGAUGAAUUCAACUCAAUUUUUGUCACAAAUGUGAUGUAACAUAGAUCUCUGCCACAUAGGCUACUGCCAUUGGGAAUGCUCAAUGAGGGCCCUUUUUUUUAUCAAUUUUUAUUUUCUGAAAUCAAUUUCUUAACUCACCUUUGCAUAUUAUUCUCCCCUCCUAUGCUUCUCUACUAUUAAUUAUUGAUUCAUCUUGCUCUAUCUCCUUCUAGAUACUUUAUAAAAAAAUAUUGUAUUAAUCUUCUUAAAUUUUCACUCCAACUUGAACUGAUUCUAUUCUAGAGCAGAUCAAUAAUUAAAUGUAAAGUAGAGUCCGGGCGCGUUUAAAGUUACUGGUCUCCAUCUUCAGUGUGCAGGGAGUUUCUUGAUAUUCCCAGAUACUAGAUUAAUGAAUGAUAUUGAUACAACAUUAAUUAGUACAAUAAUCAAUUGUCAAAUUUACAAUAGACUAGAUCGUCUCAUAUGGAAGCCAUUAAAGUUAAUUCUAAUAUUGAAAAACAAAUUAAAAAUGUAAUCACUUUGUUAUAGUUCAGACACUGUGUUACUUGUAAAUAUUUGAAAAACACUUACUUUUCUUGGAGUGUUGAGGAAUGCAUUUCACUCCUGAAGAGGAGCUUCAUCAGCCUGACACCAGGGGCGCUUGCUUUUAUGGAUUGGAUUAUGUGGCCAAAAUGUGGGGAAAUAUUAAAAAUUUAAUAUUGAAAUUAUUAGAAAUUCUUGAUUCUCCUAAAUAUUAUAUUAUACCGUACAUGAAAAAACUCGUCUGUCUUUGGUGAGCUUUAAAUCUGCUCCAGUUUGCUGGGGUUAACUUGCUUCAAUGAAAUCUUAUUAUAAAGUAACUUAGGAGGUAGAGCAAUGAGUAAUGAGAUAAUUUAUAGAAAUUAGUAAAGUAUUCCCAUUUUUUUCUCUUCUUGAUAAACUACCAAAUCUUCUGUUAACUACUUGUUUAUGAUCCCAAUUUACUACACAAAACAUUAUGUAUGAUCCAAAUAUAGACUUAAUAUUUAUGGUUCAUGGUCCAAAUUUACCACACAAAACCAUAUUACAAGUUUUAUACUAUGCAAGAUCAGUUUUAUGCUAUCGUUUUCACCAGCUAAUUCAUUUUACAAUAUUAUUAUUACUCAACCUUUGCUGGAAGCUGGAAGCAUUCAUGAAGAUAUAAGCUUAGGUCAAAGUUUAAAAGAAACUUCGUACUGGUAUCCAAUUUUUUGCUCAAUUUUAUCAUAUUGAAUUUAUCUUAUUUUUUUGAAUUACUGUAAUAUCUUUCUUUUUAAUCAUCGUUUCCUCUUAGUUAAAAAUUUAUCUGACAUUGUUUUCUCAUCUUUCAGGCCUAAUGUGAUGAUAUCAAAGUGCGUUUCUUGAAUAAUAAUUAUGUUUGACUAAUUUUCUGAUUCCAUCUAUGAAUACCGGUACAGCUAUUUUCGGUAUUUAUAACACUUUAUGUAGUAUAUUUAUCAUCAUAGUAGAAGAAAUAGUAUUAGUGUAGUUGGUUAGUAAUAGUAUUUAUGCAUACCUACCUGUCUCUUCUCAUCCUGGUGUUUUUGGUCAGAUCUCCGCAAAAUGAAAAUAUACAAGCUUUCUAUGUUGUGUCUUUCGGUAAAUCCUUAUUUAGUGUGAUCCAAGGUGCAAUAUAUAACCUAUAAAAGUUAUAAAGCCCAUUCAGCCCAUCUAAAUGCAUAAUCAUCCAUAAAUUUUGGAUGAAUGCAAUUUUCCACAUAGUAAAUAGGCCUAACAGUUGAAUCCCCAUGUAGAAGAAUACAAUAUACAAUAUUGUAUUGUAGUAAUUAAUUUUGAUGUGUCACAUAAAUAAGUAACACUAUAGUGAGAUUUACGU
rnacentral:lncRNA from 1 species